AGGUGGUUUGAUGGUGGGAGUAGUGAUAUGGUUGUGUGAAAGAUUAAGGGAUGGAUGUGUAAGUAUAAGGGUGAAAGUGGGAAUGGGUGAUUAAAUGAGUUAUGGUUUAUUUGAUAGUAGGUUAGUAGAUGGAUAGGUGUGGUAAUUGUAGAGGUAAUAGAUGGUUGGUUGGUGAAUGAUAAUAAGUAAGGGAAUGGGAUGGGGUUGGGGGGGGGAUGGUUGAUUGAAAUUUGUGGGGUAUGAAGUUUGGAUGGUAAGAUAGUGGGUUAGGAUGGUGGGAGGGGUAAGGGGGAAUUAGGGUUGGAUUGGGAGAGGGAGGGUGAGAAAGGGGUAGGAGAUGGAAGGAAGGGAGGAGGGGGGGAAAUUAGGGAAUGGGGAGAGGGGGAGGUAGUGAGAAUAAAUAGUGAUA
rnacentral:rRNA from 10 species